rnacentral:rRNA from 1 species
CCCUUAGAUGUCCUGGGCCGCACGCGCGCUACACUGAACGGAUCAGCGCGUUUUCCCUUCCCGAGAGGGACGGGUAACCUGCUGAACCCCGUUCGUGGUAGGGAUCGGGGCUCGCAAUUAUUCCCCGUGAACCAGGAAUGCCCAGUAAGUGCAAGUCAUAAGCUUGCGUUGAUUACGUCCCUGCCCUUUGUACACACCGCCCGUCGCUACUACCGAUUGAACGUUUUAGUGAGGUACUCGGACUGAGCCUCAGAAGAUUCACGUCUUUUGUGCUGCUCGGGAAGAUUCCCAAACUUGAGCGUUUAGAGGAAGUAAAAGUCGUAACA